UAACCUCCACCAUCUGGCAGGCCCCAGGCUGGCCUAGGCAAGUGAGUAUCUCUUUGAAAGACUCACCCUCAAGCAUGACUAGGAGG
rnacentral:pre_miRNA from 1 species